AGCGAACGCUGGCGGCAUGCCUAACACAUGCAAGUCGAACGAACUCUUCGGAGUUAGUGGCGGACGGGUGAGUAACACGUGGGAACGUGCCUUUUGGUUCGGAAUAACUCAGGGAAACUUGUGCUAAUACCGAAUGUGCCCUUCGGGGGAAAGAUUUAUCGCCAUUAGAGCGGCCCGCGUCUGAUUAGCUAGUUGUUGAGGUAACGGCUCACCAAGGCGACGAUCAGUAGCUGGUCUGAGAGGCUGACCAGCCACACUGGGACUGAGACGCGGCCCAGAAUCCUACGGGAGGCAGCAGUGGGGAAUCUUGCGCAAUGGGCGAAAGCAUGACGCAGCCAUGACGCGUGAAUGAUGAAGGUAUUAGGAUUGUAAAAUUCUUUUAACGGGGACGAUCAUGACGGUACCCGGAGAAGAAGCCCCGGCUAACUUCGUG
rnacentral:rRNA from 1 species